rnacentral:rRNA from 1 species
UACGUAGGGCGCAAGCGUUGUCCGGAAUUAUUGGGCGUAAAGAGCUCGUAGGCGGUUUGUCGCGUCGGCCGUGAAAACUUGGGGCUUAACCCCAAGCCUGCGGUCGAUACGGGCAGACUUGAGUUCGGCAGGGGAGACUGGAAUUCCUGGUGUAGCGGUGGAAUGCGCAGAUAUCAGGAGGAACACCGAUGGCGAAGGCGGGUCUCUGGGCAGUAACUGACGCUGAGGAGCGAAAGCGUGGGGAGCGAACAGG